UCACUUAGUUCCCUGCUUAGCAAGAAUGAUGCAAUGUUUAGCGAUAAGGAGGAGACUCCACCCAAAGUGGGGUAUGAAUACCACCACGGGGGGAAGCCAUGUUUGUGUCUGAAUUACAGCUGUAUCGACCUUUUGGGAAGAAUUAAACUUGGUCAAAUCCUGUCCUGCACUCAAGUCAAGCCUCUGAACACCUCAACUCAUACCCUCAUUCAAUCACUGCUGUGAUCCCUUCCCAAUACUGUGUAAGUAGCCCUCUCAUUACCCAUUAAUAUUGUACUAUAAAUGUCUUUUAUUAAAUGCUUUAGGUUAAAAUAAUUACUCUUCAACGAUUUUUGAAACACACUUUGUCGUCUCCGUACGUUCCGCUCCUAGAGCGUGGGUCUCCCGUCCUCCUCAAAUGUUCAAGUCACCAGCCUCCACUGAUUUGAACGUAAACAUUUGUUUUUAUCAAAAAUGCGUAUUUGGGCAGAAAUGCCUUCUGGAACAUGUGAACUUUAAUUUACCUUAAACGUGUAUGCCAUGUAAAACGUGUAUGUCCUGUAAAACGUGUAUGUCCUGUAAAUAAGAAUAUGAUUGUUAAAUUACGAGCCUAGUUGGUUUAGCCACUGAAAAAGACAGCCCUGAUUGGCUGCGAUAAUGGAUGGGCUGGACAUGCCGAGAGAUUCGUUUGGAUUGAUCUGCCAUGUAGCAUGCUUCUGUCUAUAUAACAUGAGCUGCUCAGUAUUGUAGAUAAUCCUUUCUACUGCAUCUUGUUGAAAGAUAUCGUGAAGAUCUGCAGUUGUAUUGUUACUGUUCACAACAGAAUUUAACAGGCGCUAUCGACAAAGAUCAGUGGGAAAACGUUGUGAUGAACUACUUUCUGGAGGACGAUCAUGCCAUGCUGUCUCUGACUCUGAAAAUGAGUCAGACGAUGAGGAAAUCCCUGAUUUUAAGGGGGGGGGGGAUUAUUGAACCAGACAUUGUAGUCUUCUGAUAACAGUGAUGGGGAAGAAAUGGCUGUCAACAGUGUUGUUGAGUUUUGAAAUCAGUGGAAUGCCCUUUGGAAGCAGCGUAUGAUUGCAAAUGCGGUGGGAGUGGAAAAGAGAACACAGAAGGCUGUUGUAUAAAACACUUGUCUCUGGAUUACAUCUUCAAACUAAAGGGCAACCGAGGCAUCCGUGACAGAGAGGGAGAAGCGUUCCUCUUUGUAUACAGUCAACAGCACCUCAAAAGAUGAGGGAAUACAUUGUUUAGGAGGAUUACCUGCUGCAGUUGUUCGAGAGAUGUCCAGUUUGCAGCCGAAAACAUUCAACAUAGAGAAGACUAGCAAGAGGACCAUCAGCAUCACGCUGACAUGCCCUCGCUGUGAGCAUUCCUAUAAAUGGCAACAGGGAGGACACUUGAAUCAGGUUGGUGACAUUUGACCUGGUCAAAGGUCACAACAGUUUUGUCCCAAUUCACCUGCAUAACCUAUAGCCUGGUGGAACCAGCCUGAUCGCUGCAUUUGCCAUUCUAUUUCACUUCAUGAUAUCUGAACCGUGAAUGAGCUGAUCUACGCUACCAUGAUGGGUGCUGACAAAGACCAGUCUCACCUCCAGUCUCACCUCCAGUCUCACCUCCAGUCUCACCUCCAGUCUCACCUCCAGUCUCACCUCCUGUCUCACCUCCUGUCUCACCUCCUGUCUCACCUCCUGCUUGCUCGACUAGCAGUCGGCGAUGGGGAGACCAGAAUUAGAAACAUGUAUGGAGCCAGAACAUGGAGACUUGCUGUGAUGCAGUUCAGACUGGCUUGAUACUGAUGUCUCUGAAUGGAGAAAGACCUGGCACUCGGCAUAAACAUUUUACU